CACGUAGGGUGCGAGCGUUGUCCGGAAUUAUUGGGCGUAAAGAGCUCGUAGGCGGUGUGUCGCGUCGGCCGUGAAAACCUGCAGCUUAACUGUGGGCUUGCGGUCGAUACGGGCAUCACUGGAGUUCGGCAGGGGAGACUGGAAUUCCUGGUGUAGCGGUGAAAUGCGUAGAUAUCUGGAGGAACACCGGUGGCGAAGGCGGCGUCCUGGACCAACACUGACACUGAGGAGCGAAAGCGUGGGGAGCAAACAGG
rnacentral:rRNA from 1 species